UCGUUGAGUCACCGUGAUUUACAUAAUUUCAAAUGCUCAUUCAAGCCGGGGUGUGAGGACUCUUGGGUUUGAUGAUUCAACAUUUUGGG